NGUUGUUUGGCCGAGCGGUCUAAGGCGCCUGAUUCAAGAGUUCGACUCUUAGUUGCGGUUAAUACNUCAGGUAUCGUAAGAUGCGUGAGUUCGAAUCUCACAGCAACCA
rnacentral:tRNA from 1 species